GAGGGGGCAGGGGUAACGCGAAAGGUGCGUGCGGCCCCGGACGUGGGGCGCGGGGCCAGUUGAUCAGUGAGUGCGGUAGUGAUCUCAUCUCGUACCGCGCCAGGUGUGACUCCUCUCUUUCCUCUUCUUUUGAUCCGAGUCUAUGUGCCCUUGGUAAGACGGAGCAAGCAGUAGCGGACUUAAAAUUCACGUAUCGACUCGGCCGUGUCCUCGACUCCGAGCAACAGGAGAGACAGUAAACAGAGGAAACUAGCUUUCGUAGAGGUGCGUCAAUCACGAGUAAUCACGAGACGCGAAAGAUAUUUUAGGAAAUAACGAGGAAAAUCCCGCGAAUCUUCUCGUCGAGAGGCUUCUUUUUUUUCGCGCCUUUGAAUCCGUUGCAGCGCGGCAGGAAAGUUAAAUCAAGCUCGAUAACCACAUUCGAAGUGAUAAUGACUAUAAGUGAAGCGACAUUAGCCCCGAUUAUCUCAAGUACUCGUACAGCUGUGUUUGCGUAAACGAUUGGAAGUCACAUCGGAAACCGACCUCGUUAGGAAACCAAUUUACCACGGGUAACCACGUUCGAAACGUUAGCUCGUGAAAUUUCUGUCCACCGGCCUGUUAACCUCCUGCCGUCAUGAUUUUUCACUGCGGGGGUAAGUUAGCGAUUUAGAAAACACGCGUGUCGACGCGUAACGGCCACGAACAGGAUCUCUGAUCGUUGCGCAACGAAUUCAGGAACGGAACGGAAAAGUUCUCGAUAAAACGUACGGUCAAUAAGACGUAUCGUGCAAAGACCCUGCAAUGCCACGGUUGGACACCAGAUUGUUAAUUAAAUCGUGAACUGUUAAUUAGACCGUUAAACCGACCAGCACUGAGAUUCAAUAACACCGAAAAUAUUUUUCAGCUUCGAGCAACGGUCACCGAUUCCUGCAAGAAAUCUUCCCCGUUAUUGCAAAAUUCUUAGCGAAUUGUCAGCGCAAUUUUGGUAACGAGCUGCAAUCGCUUCUAUGUAUUUUGGUUUUCGGCACUGGCGUUUUUCCUACGAGAACGUACGACAAUUACAUAGGUUAGCUACAACAACGAGCCGUGACGAACAAAUGGAACGAAUCGAAGGUCGGCUUAUCAUAAAAGAUAGAUACUCACUCGUAUUUGCUGUAGGUACGUGACGAUGGACUUGUACAACUUGGAUAAGCCAUUCCAGCGGUAAAGUAGGCUAGAAAUCUCAGUUGCCUUUGUUGCUGUAGCAGCUUUCAACGGGGAGAAAAAAUAAAGAAAAUUGAGUUUUAGAAAGUCGGGGAUUAUCGUUGAAUCGAGUCUAAAUCUUUCCGAUCAGUCUUCCUGUUACGCUCGAUACGAGAGCGAACCAGAAAUAAACCGGCAGUUUUUCAGAGUGGGGACACUAUCGACACGUGCAUGCCAUUAUCUGCACCGGGAAAUAGUGGAUUUUCGAUCGAGAGGGAGACGCUCGCUCCUAUAAACAGCCGUUAACGAUCGAUCCGUAUGUUUACCGAUUUUUACGAUCUCGAGAAUAGAAGGCCCGACAUUGUCGGAUGAAUAGGCCGGCAACAAAGAAGGUUUUCGAUUCUCGACGAUUUGAUUGGCUGGAACGACUAAACUUGCAGGUAUUUCAACACUCCAGGCAACAAGAAGAUCUUGGCGCGGACAUUUUCUUUGGUUAUCUAGCUGUAUGAGUAUUAUUCGACAUCAUAAAGCUAGGUUACCGGAGUUAAGCUCCUCGCCAUAUCAACUCCACCGAUUCUUCUUCCCCGUUUCGAUUUGCUACUCAAGUAACCGCAAACCGAUGGAUGUAAAAAUGAUUGCAAUCUUUAAAUACAUAUAACCAUAAGUAUUAA